UCCGGCGUGGCGCAGCGGUAGCGCAAGAAGCUGUUAACUUCGAGGUCGCUGGUUCGAAUCCAGCCGCCGGAGCCA
rnacentral:tRNA from 3 species